rnacentral:rRNA from 1 species
CAAUAGCGUAUAUUAAAGUUGUUGCGGUUAAAAAGCUCGUAGUUGGAUUUCUGCCGAGGACGACCGGUCCGCCCUCUGGGUGAGUAUCUGGCUCGGCCUGGGCAUCUUCUUGGAGAACGUAGCUGCACUUGAUUGUGUGGCGCGGUAUCCAGGACCUUUACCUGGAGGAAAUUAGAGUGUUUCAAGCAGGCACACGCCUUGAAUACAUUAGCAUGGAAUAAUAAGAUAGGACCUCGGUUCUAUUUUGUUGGUUUCUAGAGCUGAGGUAAUGAUUAAUAGGGAUAGUUGGGGGCAUUCGUAUUUAACAGUCAGAGGUGAAAUUCUUGGAUUUGUUAAAGACGGACUACUGCGAAAGCAUUUGCCAAGGAUGUUUUCAUUGA